rnacentral:tRNA from 1 species
GCCGAAAUAGCUCAGCUGGUAGAGCAACUGAUUUGUAAUCAGUAGGUCGGGGGUUCGAUUCCCUUUUUCGGCU